CAUGUUUCUUUCUCAAUUUCCUGGGUUCACUUCUCCUUAUCCAGAAGCAGUUGUGAUACCGAUUGAGAAACACGCUCAUCUCCUACGUGUAGGCCUGUGCGCUCCCUUCCAAUCUUCAUCCAAUCUAGUCUCGUUCCCCAGCACUCCGUCGUUGACGAGAGCCACCAAAACAGGCCCGAGCCCCUGCAGCGCUGGCCACCGGUCGCCUCCACGCCGGUGCAGACGUGCCCUAGCCGCCCCGGUGGCCUAUCCCUAGGAAUCCAGGUCCAGUUCCGACUCGCGCGGUGUGGCUAGCAUCCUCCGUGCGUCCCCGUUACAUGUCCCUUGUGCGUGCCACACAUCAGCAACAGCGACCUCACCAUCACAUUUUCACUUGGUGUUGGUGGAUCUGUGCUUGGUGAUCAAGACGGUCAAGACCCUAAGGCAGUCAAGUGCAUAUGACGGCAGCAAUGUCUGAUCCACUCAUGUACUGCUUUGCUAUUUUUCUGAUCUAGCCAGUAGAUAAGAUGGUCGUUUUCGUUUGGUUCAAUUAAACAAGCAUCAGGGCUGCAUCGACGCUGUAUCUACUGGAUCCUAAUCCUAAGCUUCCAGAAAAUUGAUGGAUUUGAAUAAUAUUAAGAAGUUAUUGCUUUUCCCUAGACCAAGUGAUGAGUACCUUGCUGGAAUAGAUGGUUUUCUUCUGUUUGCAUAUAGGGAAAAGAGUCUUGAAGAUAAGAUCCGAUGUCCAUGUAAGGAGUGUGUCAACAAGUGGUUAUUAACGCGGGAUGAAGUGUAUGAUCAUUUAGUAUGUCAUGGAAUGUUACUUGGGUAUAGUCCAUGGGGUUGUCAUGGUGAAACCACAUCAUUCAUCUCUGCCAACAGUAGGGGAACAGAGUCACAAAGUAGAGGAAUGGAUGGUAACAUGCGCCAACUAGUGCAAGAUGCUUUUGGGAACACAAACAAUGACCCUCCAGUGAAUGAAUAUGAUGUACAAAAUUUUUUAAACAGUGGGCCAGACCAUGAAACAAAAGCAUUCUAUGACUUGCUCCGAGAUGCUCAUGACCCUUUGUGGGAAGGGUGUGAACUUACAAGGCUGUCAUUUCUAGUUCUCUUGUUUCACAUAAAAUCAGUUAACAAGUGGAGUAAUAAAUCAUUAAAUGAUUUGCUAGCAAUCUUGCAACAAGCAAUUCCAAAUGGUAAGAAUUUACCUGGAACAUUUGCUGAAGCUAAGAAGAUAAUAGGAAAGCUUGGACUUAAUUAUGUCAAAAUUCAUGUUUGUCCAAAUAACUGCCAGCUUUAUAGGAAAGCUAAGGCAAACGAUGACUUUUGUUCAAAAUGUGGUACUUCAAGGUGGAAAAACAAAGAAGAUAAAACUACUUUAACAAAGAAGGAAAGGAGAAGGGCAACCCCAAGGAAAGUGUUAAGGUACUUCCCAAUUAAGCCAAGGCUUAAGAGGUUAUUUAUGCACAAGGAAACAGCUAUAGCAUUAAGAUGGCAUGAUGAGGGUCGUACAAAGGAUGGUGUGUUGCGUCAUCCAGCUGACUCAGAGGCUUGGAAGUCCAUUGACUCUAGGAAUCCCCAGUUUGCAUCGGAUUCUCGAAACAUUAGGUUUGCAAUGGCUAGUGAUGGAUUUAAUCCUUUUGGGACAUUGAGUUCAACUUAUAGUUGUUGGCCAGUUGUCUUGAUUCCAUAUAACCUUCCUCCAUGGUUAUGCAUGAAAGCAUCUUCUAUUAUGCUUGCACUAAUAAUUCCUGGUCCAUCUUACCCUGGAAAGGAUUUUCAUUUAUUUAUGGAACCAGUUUAUGAAGAGUUAUUUGAUUUAUUUGAGGUUGGAACUCCUACAUAUGAUGCAUCUCAAAACGAGAUGUUUCAGCUUCGUGCUACAGUACUGUUCACUAUUAGUGACUAUCCUGGGAUUGGGAUCUUUGCGGGAUAUAGUGUCAAUGGUGAAUUUGCUUGUAUUAUGUGUCAUGAAGAAACGUGCUCUAAACGUUUGAAACAUGGACACAAGUAUUGUUUCAUGGGACAUCGUCGAUUUCUUCCUCUGGACCAUGAAUUACGAUAUAAUGAAAAUUCUUUUGAUGGAACUGAAGAACAUAGAGUAGAACCUCUUGCUUAUUCUGAAACAUCAGUUUUACAAAAGAUAGAGAAAAUUAAUGAUUUUGAGAAGUCAAAAACAUGGAAAUGCCGUAGUGGCUUAUUUUCGUUGCCUUACUGGGACUUGAAUGUACUCCAUCAUAAUCUUGAUGUAAUGCAUAUUGAGAAGAAUGUUUGUGAUAACAUAUAUGGGACAUUGUUAGGACUGGAAGGCAAAUCAAAGGAUAAUUUACAAGCACGCUUGGACCUACAAGAAAUGAAUAUAAGGCCAGAUUUGCAUCCCAUAAGAAAAGCUAAUAAUAAGUAUUAUUUGCCUCCUGCUUUCUAUACAAUGUCUAAACGGGAGAAACAUCAAUUUUGCAAAGUUCUCCAUGAUAUUAAGGUUCCAGAUGGCUAUGCAGGAAACAUCUCAAAAUGUAUAAAUGUUAGUCAAGGGAAAAUUUCAGGUCUUAAAAGUCAUGACUGUCAUAUUCUAAUGCAAGAACUUCUCCCAGUUGCUUUGCGGGGUGUGCUUCCUUACAAUGUCACUUCUGUCUUAUUUGAUCUAUGUGGAUAUUUUAGAGAACUGAGUUCAAAAGUCCUGUACAUUGAUGUGCUUGACAAGUUAGAGGAACAAAUUAAAAUGACAUUAUGUCGUUUGGAGAUGAUAUUUCCACCAGUUUUUUUUACCAUUAUGGUGCACUUGGUUGUUCAUUUAGCCACUGAAGCAAAAUUAGGAGGUCCUGUGUGUUACCGAUGUAUGUAUUUUGUGGAAAGGUAUUUGAGUGUAUUAAAGUCAUAUGUGCGUAAUAAGGCACAUCCUGAAGGAUGUAUUGCAGAAGCAUAUUUGGCAGAUGAGUGUAUGACAUUUUGUUCAAGAUAUCUUGAAGGUUUUGAGACAAAGCAUAACCAGCCUACACGAAAUGAUGAUAAUGAUGAGUCAGUUGCAUGUUCAGAUGAUGAAUGCACACCAUAUCUUUUUCCUCAUGUUGGAAAACCACUUGGCAAGCCGAGAAGUUAUGUUAUUAGGGGCUUGACUAAAAUGCAAGCACAUAGAUAUGUGCUCUUCAACUGUCCAGAUGUCAACCCAUACCUUCGAACUCAUGUUGAUGAGAUUAGAAGAACAUAUCGGCAAGGCCGCAUCACCCCAAAGAUUAUCGAGCGUAUCCAAAAUGAAAAAUUCCAUGAAUGGUUCAGAGCUCAUAUAAUGGAUCUAGAGAGGAAAAAUGGCAUAUGCAGUGUCAAGAAUGAUCAUAGAUGGCUGGCUCGUGGUCCGAUUGGUCCAGCAAAAAGAUAUCGUGCUUUCAAUACCCGUGGCUUCCGGUUUAGGCCUAAACAUUUGGAUGGAGUGACACAGAAUAGCGGAGUUGUCCUAAGUGCAAAAACAUCCAGUUAUACUAAAUCAAGUGACACAAAUCCAAUAUUGGGUGAUCUAACAUACUAUGGUAGAGUCAUCGAUAUUAUUGAGCUAAAUUACUCUGGACAAUUUUCAGUAGUACUGUUUAAAUGUGAAUGGGUUGAUGUUGUUUCUGGAAAAGGAGUUAAAAAAGAUAAGUAUGGUUACACACUAGUUAACUUCUCACAUCUCAUACAUACUGGAGAAAAAGUUGAGCAUGAGCCUUUUAUUUUCCCCAAUCAAGCAGAUCAAGUUUAUUAUGUCGAUGAUCCAAUGAAUCCUGGGUGGUCUGUGGUAAGGAAGAACAAACCUAGAGAUAUAUAUGACAUUGGUGAGGAUGAAUGGGCAGGUGACAUAGAAAUUGAGCCAUUCCAUGUUUCACACCUUGGUGGAAUGUCCAGUAAUGCAAACAAUUACAAGCAAUGGGUUAGAACAGAUGUUGAAGGAACAACAGUAGAUGUUGAUAAUAAUGCUUUGAAUAAUGAAGGAUAACAGAGGAAAAUAGUUACUCUUUCAUGAUUUAUUUCAUUACUUCAAGUUUCAGGUCCAUUAUUUUGAUGCAGACGCAGUUACAUUGGCAAGGUGGCAUCAGGGUGUUACUGUUUCUUUCGGCAAGCGAAAGUGAACAAGCAGCUGUCACUAACCAACAUAUGGCAGUUCUAGUCCAAGCAAACAUGAGUUUAGGCCAGUCUUCAGUAGUCAAUAAUAAUUCCCAAUGUAGUCUAUAUGUAUAGAUUAUUUUAAAUUUGUUCGUGUGAGCUUUUCCUUUUCUACUGCUAUAUUGAUUAGUCCUGUAAUCAUGUCUGGGUUAUGUGAUCUCUCUAGCAUCUUGUUUUUUACCAUAUUACUGAAAUGAUUAUUCUUUCAUAUUGCCGAAAUGAUUAUUCUUCCAUUUUUUUUUCUAAGUUCAUGAUGUAAGACAAAAAGAUUCUGUGCAAAUACCUCAGCUACAUUGUAGCAAUUUUGUGAUUAAA